GGCCUGAGCUGCUCACUGCUAACAACUUAGCAGUCGCAUGGAAAAUCUGCAUUCAUCUUAACAACAGAAAAUUCCCUCAAGAAAGCAGGGCCUGGGUGAUUAGAAAUGGUUUUCUUGACCUUCGACAGGCGAUCAAGGAAAGGAAUUGGCAGCAUACUGCAUGCCCUUGGAUGUCAUGAGAGGAGACUUGGGAAGCUGUUUGAGAAGGGAGUUGUAAUGAAAAUUUUAGCUAAAUUCAUUUUGUGGGUGAAGUUUGGAAGCCAAACCCUUCUUCAAUAAGUGUAUUUAAC